UGGAGAGUUGUGAGGAGAUAAGUGACAUAAACUGGCAUGUUCUGAAAGAAUCACUCUGGAUGCUGUGUGGAGAAAACACUGAAAAGAAUUCUAGAGUGAAAGUUUCAUGAAUAUAAGAAGCAAGACAAGGAAGUGGCUUAUGCUUAAGGCCUUAAAGGCAACCACUGUGACAAUCCAGCCAUUCUCUGGAGAAUUCAGCAGAAAGCCAGUUGGAAGGUUUGAAAUGGAAAUUACAAGCGCAAUAUUACAGAAGUGUGGAUUUUAGUUACAAUGUCUCUAUGAGAAAGUCUAAAAGUUAAACAUAAGCAAAACAACAAAAACAUCUAAAUACCAGACACUAUCCUCAGAAAUUAGAUUUGAAAAAUGAGCUUCAUUUUCGAAGAACAUAUUGAAUUUGUUAUCUCGAUUAUGGAGGGCGACAAGUCCCACAGUCUGCCAUCUGCAGGAUGGAGAACCAGUCUUUAUAGGGGGAGAAUAAUUGACUCCAUUCAAGUGUUCGCUCCUGUUUCAAUCAACUAUGGCUGAAGAGUGAGGAGACAUUUGGAAUAAAUAUGGCUUCUGGGGGCCCAUUCCUAUGGAUCAGCAGCUGGCUUCUGGAGGCCCAUUCCUGUGAAUCGUCGAUCUCAUAGAAGAUAAUAUUGUUAGAAGGCUUACCUCAUUGAUGCUGAACAUCCUAAAAAGCUUCUGCUGCUUUGAGUCACUGAAAAAGACCAAGAAACAUGAAUUUAAAAAAAAAUUUCAAAUGUUAUAAAAUAAAUAAUAUGAACUCAUUAUACCUACAAUGAAUAAUUUAAAUUCUUCUUUGGUAGUCCAGCAUAGGUUUAGAAACUAUGAAAACCCUAGAAGAAAACCUAGGCAAUGCCAUUCAGGACAUAGGCACGGACAAAGAUUUCAUGACGAAGACGCCAAAAACAACUGCAACAAAAGCAAAAAUUGACAGAUGGGAUCUCAUUAAACUAAAGAGCUUCCAUACAGCAAAAGAAGCUACCAUGAGAGUGAACAGACAACCUAUAGAAAGGGAGAAAAAUUUUGCAAUCUGUUCAUCUGACAAAGGUCUAAUAUCCAGCAUCUACAAGGAACUUAAAUAAAUUUACAAGAAAAAAACAAACCCAUUAGAAAAUGGGCAAAGGACAUGAAAAGAUACUUCUCAAAAGACAUACAUGUGGCCAACAAUCAUACAAAAAAAACCUCAACAUCACUGAUGAUUAGAAAAAUGCUAAUCAAAACCACAACGAGAUACCAUCUCAUACCUGUCAGAAUGGCUAUUAAUAAAAAGUUAAAAAACAACAGAUGCUGGUGAGGUUGUUGAGAAAAAGGAAUACUGUUAUACUGUUGGUGGGAAUGUAAAUUAGUUCAACCAUUGUGGGAGACAGUGUGGCAUUUCCUCAAAGACCUAGAGGCAGAAAUACCAUUUGACUCAGCAAUCACGUUACUGGAUAUAUACCCAAAGGAAUAUAAAUCAUUCUAUUAUAAAGAUACAUGCAUGCGCAUGUUCACUGCAGCAUUAUUCACAAUAGCAAAGACAUGGAAUCAACCCAAAUGCCCAUCAAUAACACACUAGAUAAAGAAAAUGUGGUAUAUAUACACCAUGGAAUACUAUUCAGCCAUAAAAAGGAAUGAAAUCAAGUCCUUUGCAGGAACAUGAAUGAAGCUGAAGGCCAUCAUCUUCAGCAAACUAACACAGGAACAGAAAAUAAAAUACCACAUAUUCUCACUUACAACUGGGAGCUGAAUGAUGAGAACAUAUGGACACAUAUAGGGGCACAACACACACUGGGGCCUGUUGGAGGGUGCUGGGGGGAGGAGGCAGAGCAUCAGGAAGAAUAGCUAAUGGAUUCUGGGCUUAAUACCUAAGUGAUGAGAUGAUCUGUGCAGCAAACUACCAUAGUACAUGUUUACCUAUGUAACAAACCUGUACGUCCUGCACAUGUACCCCUGAACAUUAAAAAAGUGUGUUUAAAUUGUGAGAUAAGGAUUCAAGAGGGCCUCUUGCUUCACUAUUGUUCACUUUCCUAGCUUUAAGUUUUCUCUUCUAUUUAUCAUAAGUAUUUAUCCUUAAAUGCCAUGUCAAAUGAUGACUGGUUAAUUAAUUAUUAUUAUUUUUUAGUUCAAAGGGUCCCUUCUAAUGUUAUUUAUCUUUUAACAAGGGAAGACAGGAAUAUUUUCAAGAUCCAAGUAUUUAAAAAGGUGGAAGUGAGAUAGGAUCGGGGUUUGGAAUGAAGUAGAAAGAAAAGGAAACAUGUAAAAAUGUAAAAUCACCAUGUAGGAGCCCAACAUAUCCAAUAUAAGCUAUACUGCUUUGGGUUAUCUAGCUCAUAAUUUUUCUUUGCCUAAUUUCUCUACUUAGAAAUACCAUGUCACUUACGGUGUGUUUUUAAUUGAGGAAAGUUAAUUACUAACUAUUGUUUUGUAAAACUCAUAUGCCAAUUUAUUCUAGGCUAAAAUCAACUUGGCAGAUAAUUAUUUUUAAAUAACAAACAAAAGACCUUUCCUUUCUGAUGCUUUUCCCAAAACAUGCAAUAUAAACCAAAGAGUAAAACAAAAUAAUGUGUUACACUUCUCUUCAACUAGUCUACCAUCACUUCUGUUUAACUGGUUUGAUACAUUCAUGAAAAAUUUCCUUUAAAAGACAUAUUCUUCUAAAACUAAUUUAAAAUAAAACUCUUAUUAAUAUUUUCAAUUCCUACCACUAUCAAUUAUUUGGAAUUAGACCAGGUUAAGAAUUUAAAACUUUGCCUAUCAUUUUGUAUUUUAAAGUCAUGGGUAUUGAUAAGGGACUAAUAUUUAGGAAUUAUUUUAUGUCUUUCAUUUCCUUAUCUUCUCAGUUAACAGGUAUGCUGAGCCUUUGCUAUUUUCACAAUAAACUGAUUACUUGGUUGAUUUAGGUAGCAAAAAAGAUAAUGAACCUGUAUCAAAUUUCUACUUACAUUAUUUUAUGCAUAGUAAAUAAAAAUUUCAUUGCUGUGCAUCCUCUUACUAGUAACUACAAAUUUUAUAAAAAUACAAUUUUUUAAUUAUUUUGCCACUGAAGCUGCAAUGACUAGCAGAAUGUCUGGCAUAUAACAAGUGCAGAAUUAUUUUUAAUAGAUUUAUUGAGGUAUAUUAAUAUACAAUAAAAUGCCCACAUUUAAAUUGUUUUGACAUUUUGACAAUUGUUUUGACACACAAAAUAAGUUUUGACACAUGUACAGACUCAUAAAGCCCUCACCAAAAUCAAGGUAAUCAACAUAUUCAUUACUCCCAAAAGUUUCCUCAUGCUUUCUUUGUAAUCUCGCCCAGCAAUCACCCCGCACCCCAUCCCCAUGCAACCAGUGAUCUGUUUUCUGUCACCAUAGAUUAGUUUGCAGUUUCUAGAAUUUGAUAUAAGUGAAAUCGAACAGUAUAUAUUGUUUUCUGCCUGGCUUCUUUCACUCAGCUUAAUUAUUUUGAGAUUCAUUUGUCAUGUGCGAAACCAUAGCUUAUUUAUUUUUAUUCCUUUUGUUGACUAGUAUUCUAUUGUAUGGCUGUACUACAGUUUGUUUAUCCAUUCAUCUGUUGAUGAACAUUUGAGUCGUUCCCAGUUUUCGGCUUUUACAGAUUAAGCUACUGUGAUGAUGGGUACAUAAGUCUUUAUAUAGACAUACUUUCAUUUUUCUGGGGUGACACUUCAGAGUAGGAUGGCUGGAUCAUACAGUAGGUGUAUGUUUGACUUUUUAACAGACUGCCAAACUGUUCUCCAAAGUGAUUCUACUAUUUAACAUUUUUAUCUGCAUUGUAUAGCAUUCUCCCUUCCUCUCACUGUUGGUAUGGUCAGUCUUUUGAAUUUUAGCCACUCUCAUAGGUAUACAGUGGUAUCUCAUUGUGGUUUUGUUUUUCCCUAAUGUUUAAUGAUGUUUAGCAUUCAUACAUUUUUUUUUUUUGCCAUCUGUUCAUCAUUUUUAGUGAAGUGUCUUCAUGUCUUUUUCCCAUUUGGUAUAGGAAGGGAGUUGGUUGUUUUCUUAUUAGUUAGCUUUAAGAGCUCUUUGUAUAUUCUGGAUAUUAGUCCUUUAUGAGACAUACGAUUUCAAAUAUUUUCUCCCAUUCAGUGGCUUAUCUUUUCAGUCCUUUAACAGUGUCUUUCAAAGAGCAGAAGUUUAUGAUUUUGCUGAAGUCCAAGUUAUCAGUUUUAUAUGGAUUGUAUUUUGAGUCAACCCUAAAAAAAAAAAAUUGCCUGACUGAAGGUCAUAAAGAUUUUCUCCUAUAUUUUCUUCUAGAAGUUUUAUAGUUUUAGGUUUUAUAUUUAGGUCUGUGUUCCAUUUUGAGUUAAUUUGAAGGGUUUUUUUGUAUAUGGAUGUCCGAUUGUUUCAGCAUUAUUUGUUGAAAAUAUGACUCUUUCUCCACCGAAUUGCUUUUGCGUCUUUGUGGAAAAUUCAGUUAUUUAUACACAAGUGGGUCUGUUUCUGAACUCUGUCUCCUGUUCCAUUGAUCUAUCUGUUAUUUAUGCCAAUACCACACUGUCUUGAUUACUGUGGUUAUAUACUACUCUUAAAAUAUUCAACUUUCUUCUGUGUUUUCAAAAUUGUUUCAGAUCUUCUAGUUUCUUUGUUUUUCCAUAUGAACUUUAGAAUCAGCUUAUCUCUUUUUGUUUGUUUGUUUUUUGAGAGAGAGCCUCACUCUGUCACCCAGGCUGGAAUGCAGUGCCAAUGAUCACGGCUCACCACAGCCUCAACCUCCUGGGCUCAGGUGAUCCUCCCACCUCAGCCUCCCGAAUAGCUGGGACUAUAGGCACACACCACCAUGCCCAACUAAUUUUUGUAGUUUUUGUAGAGACAGGGCUUUGCCAUGUUGCCCAGGCUGGUCUCAGACUCCUGGGCUCAAGCAAUCCUCCCACGUCCACCUCGCAAAGUGCCAGGAUUACAGGCAUAAGCCACCAUGCCUGUCCCAGCUUAUCAAUUUCUACCAAAAAAAAAAAAUUGCCAGAAUUUUGCUUGACACUUUUUUUAUUCUUUAGGUCAAUCCAAGGAAAAUUGACUUAUUAUAACCAUAUUGAGACUUCUGACUCAUGGCUCAAUAUAUUUUUAUUAAAUAAAAGAAGAAUUUUUGAAACGGGUUUUGGAAUAAUUUUCAGAAGUUCUAGGAAAAUUAGAAAUAUCAUGUUUAACUGCUGAAAGAAAUCAUAGAUGACACAAACAAAUGAAAACACAUCUCAUGCUUGGGGUGGGGGGAGGAAAUCAAUAUUGUUAAAAUUACCAUACUGCCCAAAGCAAUCUACAGAUUCAAUGCAAUUCCUAUGAAAAUACCAUCAUCAUUCUUCACAGAACUAGAAAAAAAAUCCUAAAAUUCAUAUGGAACCUGCAUAGCCAAAGCAAUACAAAGCAAAAAGAACAAAUCUGGAGGCAUCACAUCACCCAACUUCGAACUAUACUACAAGGUUAUUGUUACCAAAACAGCAUGGUACUUGUAUAAAAAUAGGCACAUAGACCAAUGGAACAGAAUAGAGAACUCAGAAAUAAAGCCAAAUACUUAUAGCCAACUGAUCUUUGACACAGCAAACAAAAACAUAAAAUGGAGAAAGGACACCCUAUUCAACAAAUGGUGCUGGGAUAAUUGGCAAGCCACAUGUAGGAUGAUGAAACUGGAUCCUCAUCUCUUACCUUAUACAAAAGCCAACUCAAGAUGAAUCAACGACUUAAAUCUAAGGGCUGAAACCAUAAAAAUUCUAGAAGACAACAUCAGAAAAGCCCUUCUAGACAUUGGCUUAGGCAAAGAAUUCGUGACCAGGAACCCAAAGCAAAUGCAACAAAAACAAAAAUAGGUAAAUGGGACAUAAUUAAACCAAAAAGCUUCUGUACAGCAAAAGAAAGAAUCAGCAGAGUAAACACAUAACCCACAGACUAGGAGAAAAUAUUCACAAAGCAUGAAUCUGAGAGAGGACUAAUAUCCAGAAUCUAUAAGGAACUCAAACAAAUCAGCAAGAAAAGAAAUAAAUAAUCCCAUCAAAACGUGGGCAAAGAACAUGAAUAAAUAAUUCUCAAAAAAGAUAUAUAAACAGUCAACAAAUAUAUGAAAACAUGCUCAACAUCACUAAUUAUCAGGUAAAUGCAAAUUAAAAUUGCAAUGAGAUACCCCCUUACUUCUGCAAGAAUGGCCAUAAUAUGAAAAAGACACUUGCACAUGCAUGUUUAUAGCAGCAAAAUUCAUAAUUGCAAAAAUAUGGAGCCAACAUACCUGCCCAUCAAUCAAUGAGUGGAUAAAGAAAAUGUGGUAUAUAUACACCAUCGAAUGUGGUAUAUAUGCACUCAGUCAUAAAAAGAAAUGAGAUAAUGUAUGUUGCACCAACUUGGAUGGAGCUGGAGGCCAUUAUUCUACAUGAAGUAACCCUCAGGAAUGAAAAACCAAAUAAUGUAUGUUCUCACUUAUAAGUAGGAGCUAAGCUGUGAGAAUGCAAAGGCUUAAGAAUGAUAUCAUGGGCUUUGGAGACUUGUGGGGAAGGAUGGGAGGGGGGUGAGAGAUAAAAGACUACACAUUGGGUACAGUGUACACUGCUCAGGUGACAGGUGCACCAAAAUCUCAGAAAUCACCACUAAAGAGUUUAUCACUGUAACCAAAAACCACCUGUUCACCAAAAGCUAUUGAAAUUUUAAAAAGAGAUAAAAUAAAAAUGCAUAGUUUAAAAAUGUAGAUAGUAUUCAUAUGGUUCAAAACUCCAAAAUUAUAGAAGAAUACAGAGCAUCCCUCCCACUCUUGCCUCCCAGGAACCCAAUUCUCAUCCUCCAUGAUCUGCACAUUAAAAGUUUCCCCAUUCAUUUUUAUGGCCCUGGAUGUAGGGCCAUAAAAUGGCUUGUAAGGAUGUUCCAUAAUUUAUUUAAUCAGUGUCUUAGUGAGGGACAUUUAGAUUAUUUCCAAUUCUUUGCCACUACAAAAAUUCCACAAUAAAUAACCUUGUACAAUCAUAAUUUCCUACAUGUAUGUACAUAGCUGAAGAA
rnacentral:lncRNA from 1 species